AUCCUACGGGAGGCAGCAGUGGGGAAUAUGCACAAUGGGCGCAAGCCUGAUGCAGCCAUGCCGCGUGUAUGAAGAAGGCCUUCGGGUUGUAAAGUACUUUCAGCAGUGAGGAAGGUGGAUAUGUUAAUAGCAUAUUCAUUUGACGUUAGCUGCAGAAGAAGCACCGGCUAACUCCGUGCCAGCAGCCGCGGUAAUACGGAGGGUGCGAGCGUUAAUCGGAAUUACUGGGCGUAAAAGCGCAUGCAGGUGGUUUGUUAAGUCAGAUGUGAAAGCCCGGGGCUCAACCUCGGAAUUGCAUUUGAAAACUGGCAAACUAGAGUACUGUAGAGGGGGUAGAAUUUCAGGUGUAGCGGUGAAAAUGCGUAGAGAUCUGAAGGAAUACCGGUGGCGAAGGCGGCCCCCUGGACAGAUACUGACACUCAGAUGCGAAAGCGUGGGGAGCAAACAGGAUUAGAUACCCUGGUAG
rnacentral:rRNA from 1 species